rnacentral:lncRNA from 1 species
AAAACGCCUUCAGAGAAGUAGGUAUGUAAUGAGCUGAGAUUAGCACGCACAACAUAUUCGUAACAACAAUUGCUGUAAACGCAACUGAAGGCGAAUUCCUUUCGCACAUUUAACGCCUUCAGAGAGUCACGUAUAUAAUGUGCUAAAAUCAGCACGCACAGCAUAUUCGCAACAACAAUUGCUUAUACAGACGCAGCCGAAGGCAAAUUGAAAACAACCGUAUAAUACACGUUGAAAAACAUCUUACUUCCUUAAUUAAUAUUGUUCCCAAUAGGGAGUUGCAUUUUCUAGUCUUUUUGCGGGGACUCUCCAAAAACUUUUCACGAUAAACUAAGUUUAAAUGAAAAAUAUAACAUACCGUGCUACAAAUUUUCAGUCCUUGCGGAGAGUUUAGACGAAACUUCCCGACAAGAGUAUAAAAGCGCCAACACCACGACGGUCUUGAAGCAAAAACAAAAAAUUCGACAAAAAAGUACCCCAAAACAGUUUGAGUGGGGUGAAUCUAUGAUACCUGUAGCGAUUCCAGUGCUUCAAAAAUUUAGUGUGCAAUUUACCUGAAACUGGAAUGUGAAGCCACGUCUAGAUGCACCGUUCAUCCCUCGUUUAAUUUUGGACAGUUAGGGAAAAAAUAACCUAUGCUUUAAAAUAAACUUCCAGUUGGACUUGGUAAGAGAUGCUCAUCUAACCGUCGGAGAAUCACCUCAAAACGUAUUUCCGUUCACGUACCUCAUAAUACUCAGCCUGAAAGGGCGUGCCUUGCGACAGCACCCGAGAGAAUCUAUCAAAGUGCAUAGAAAACUAGUGUUCACGGAAGGACAAAACAUAAACAAAAAUAGCGCCGCGUCAUUUCUAGUUGCACGCGGCACUCCAAGACAAGUAACUUUGUCGCUUUAUUGACUUGAGAGCAAUUUCAUAUUCACAUAAGCCCUGGAAAUCAUAAAAUUAUGAGAACAAUAGAGUCCAUCUCAAAGUAUAACAAUGUUGUUUACCAGCGCAGCAAAAAGUUGUCAUCGUCUAAAUAAAAUGUAUAACGUCAUGAUAUUGAUUAUAAUUUUAAUUUCGUCGAAUUUGCGAUAUGUGUCUUUAUCUAAACAAUUCAAACAUAAAUAUAUACUUAAGAGACCGGACAAUUGCUUCAAUUUCAUACUCGUAAACCUGCUAGUGUAUUUGCUGAUCAUCAAUCUUUCAAAAUGUGCCCAUCCAAACUUCUCGUCAUUUUUGCCCUCGCCUCCUUGGUCAUCCUUACUCGAUAUGCAACUGCAAAACGAUCAGUGUCAUCUGAUGUCGGUUCCGAUGAAUCACAAGUAG